rnacentral:rRNA from 1 species
AGCGAACGCUGGCGGCAGGCCUAAUACAUGCAAGUCGAGCGGGUGUAGCAAUACACCAGCGGCAGACGGGAGAGUAACACGUGGGAACGUGCCCUUCAGCUCGGAACAACCCAGGGACACUUGGGCUAAUACCGGAUACGUCCGUAAGGAGAAAGAUUUAUCGCUGAAGGAUCGGCCCGCGUCUGAUUAGCUUGUUGGUGGGGUAAUGGCUCACCAAGGCGACGAUCAGUAGCUGGUCUGAGAGGAUGAUCAGCCUCACUGGGACUGAGACACGGCCCAGACUCCUACGGGAGGCAGCAGUAGGGAAUAUUGGACAAUGGGCGCAAGCCUGAUCCAGCCAUGCCGCGUGGGUGAUGAAGGCCCUAGGGUUGUAAAGCCCUUUCGGCGGGGAAGAUAAUGACGGUACCCGCAGAAGAAGCCCCGGCUAACUUCGUGCCAGCCGCCGCGGUAAGAC